rnacentral:lncRNA from 1 species
UACGAGCAAGUCAAGGAAAUAGCAUCAAGAAAGGGAUGCACCACAGCACAACUUGCAUUGGCUUGGAUUCUUCAUAAAGGAGAUGACAUAUGCCCCAUACCCGGUACCACCAAGAUUGACAACCUCAACGAAAAUAUCGAAGCCAUAUCUGUAAAGCUGACAACUGAUGAAAUGAUGCAGUUAGAGUCCUGUGCUGCUGAAGAUACGGUUAAAGGUGAAAGGCACGCAUUCAUGUGGGCGACUUGGAUAAAUUCGGAGACUCCACCAUUGUCCUCCUGGAUAGAUGAAUAAUGGAUACUUUCUCGUUUUGCUUUGGAAGAAGCCCCGUUAAUGCCCAAGUCUAAUUCGAAGUAAAGGCUGAACCCGGGCUAAUGGCAGUUCAGCAUUUCUUUCUAGCAGGUGCAAUAGAGACUAGGAUUUACAAAUCUACAAUGUUCUGGACAAAUGUAUACACACAAUGUAGUUUACUAGUAGUCUGAAUUUCUUUUGCUAGUGCGUACCUUUAUAUCCAAGUUUUCCUUGUAUUUGUGAUGAAAAUUUAUUGUUAUCCCCUGUGUACCUUUGAUCCUUUGUGCGAUAGAGCCCUUCCACACAAGACUCCUGAAUCACUCCAAGUCUCCAUUUUUCAAUGUUAUCAUAUGGUUUAGAAUUGUUUAUGCUUAAUGCAUAUUCAAGUUGUACUUUUUCAUCUGAUACCAUUGCCGCUAAACACUCUAUAAAGUAGAGCACUUAGCCGGUUAUUCUCUAUACUUUAUUUACAUAAAAUUUGGAGCAUCUCAAACUGAUAAAUCUUCCAGAGACUCGAAUCUGUAUCCUCGUAAAUCUAUGCUUUACAUUUUCUACCUGAGCUUUAUAGAUAUGUAUAUGUUCAUGUUAAACUACCUGAUUUUAUUUAGGCUAUUAACGGAAUAAAAGAGAAAGUACAAAUAGCUAUCAAGAUUGGUAUACGUUUCGAAGAUGGAAAUAGGGGCAUUUGUGGUGAACCUGCAUAUGUAAGGGCUUGUUGUGAGGCCAGCUUCAAGAGACUGGAUAUCGACUGCAUUGAUCUGUAUUAUGUUCAUCGCAUCGAUACUUAGUAGCCAAUUAAAGUCACGGUUCGACAUCUUUGCUCCAAAGUUCUAUUUUUGUAGUGUACUGAAUUCAUCACUCUUAAGUUUUAAGAAGUAGUUGCAUUAUAUGAUUUGACAUCUUGGCUUGGGUUCUUCUUCGAUGAUGUAUGCCCUAUACCAGGCACUAGGAAGGUUGAAAACUUCAACGAAAAUGUAGGAGCCUUAUCCGUAAAAUUGACAGCAGAAGACAUGAAAGAACUCGAAUCGUAUACCUCUAGUGAUGUUGUCAAAGGUGAGAGACAUGUAUACAUGUGGUCAACUUGGAUAAAUUCAGAGACUCCGCCAUUUUGCUCCCUAGAAAGAUGAAUAGGGGUUUGCUAAGUGAUAUCUAUUUGGCUUCUUACGAUGCUCAAACUCUCCGAAGAUAUUGUUGCACAUGUGUCGAUCCUCAAAAAAUGCACUAUGGAAAAUCCAAUAUUAUACACUUGGUGACAUUUUUGAAGAGUCUGAACAACAUAGAUAACUUUUGUACAUGUACUCAAUACUUAUUCAUGAAGUAAGACUUGUGUUAUGGAUUGCUCUUAAACUAUUUAGUAUUGAGCUAUCAAAACAGCUUUCAUUCAGGAAUAGUCAUCUUUCAAUUCACCUUAUAUAGAAGGUGUAAGAUGAAGGGAAACAACUACUAUAUUACAAAAAACAAACAAGAAGCAAUGUUUUGACACGUAAAAUAAUACAGCUGCAUAACAAAGGCAGGAUUUUACAACAAGAAGUCACAGUGAAAGAUCAUCUGACCAUCUAAAACAUACAGAAAAAGGACAGGAGAAUGAGCAUGGCUGCAACAAUUAAGUAAGAAAUAAUUCCAUCCACUCUGUCUUUUGAAAUCAACAUGGAGCAAUUAAGCGAAAGCAAGCAUCAAAUUAGAAGAAGGAAUAAGAAACAAUAUAUACCAUUGUUGUGAUUACAGGCAGGUACAUGUUUGACUCACAGCUGCCAGAUGACCGUAGCCCUCUGUAUUAUACAUAGUGGUGUCAAGUUAGAUGCAGGUAGAUACUUAAAAACAAAACAUAGGAGUUUGUUGCUACUUACUUUGAUAAUGAGGUCAAUACGGUCGUUUCCUUCAUUCUCUUCAACAUCUUUCUUAAUCCCCGCAGCUGAAUCCUUCAGAGAUUUCUUCCCACACCCAAUCAACUUAAUCUGCUUCAGUGUUGGAAUAUUUGCAAAGCUAAGGGGGGUCUCCUCUAGGUCAUUGCACUUUUUUAUAACAAGUGUUUUAAGCAGGGGAAAUGAUUCCUCCGAGGCAUCCCACCUUGAGAUAUCUAACUUCACCAGUUUCAACAACUUAAGUUUGUGGAACGUGAUAUCUCCAAGGCACCACUCUUCUGAUUGAGGAAAAUACAUAUCUUGUAAUUGGAGAUACUCCAGGCUUGGUAGUCCUGCAAUAAAGGGAAUCACCUUAUAAUGAGUCCGACAUAGUACCAACUUGUUUAAUUUUGAAGGCAAUUGUAAUCCAGAUACAACGUAGGACCACGGAAGGGUAAGGCAAAGCUCUUGAAGCUCGGUAAGAUUCUCCAAUGAGAGACAAAAAGACUCUGCAGAAUCACUAUCACCCUUGGGAAAGCUGAUGUGAAGUUGUUGAAGAUUAGGACACCUCCUUGAUAACACAUCCAUCCUAUCAAUUGGAAAGUUACCAAUGUUCUCUAAUAUCCUCAAAUUUUCCAACUUAGAGGAUAGCCCCUGCUUAUUCUCUUCCAAAUCAAAUUCAGCUCUCCGAAUAUAAACAUGCCUUAAUUUUUCCAUUUCCCAAAAAGACGCUGGUAACAGUACUAUAUCACACCAACCAUUACCCACCACUAAAGUUUCAAGAUGGGGCAGACGUGAUUCUGGAUCAAAAUGGAAUUUCCUUUCCACAACUGCAAUGUACUUCAGGUGAUUUAGUGGUUUCAAUGUAGCUGUCGACAAAUAACUCACUUUAACGUUACUCAAAUUCAAGACCUUAAGAAGUCGCAAUGUAUGAAUCCAAGACCUUAAGGGAAACCCAUCAACAUAUUCUCCGAGCGUUAUCAGUGACCUCAAGUGUUGGUGGAAAGGCUUCUGUAUUUUGGAUCUCAGAGAAGUAGACUUGGAAAGCUUUUCACUGAAACUAAAGAUCACUCGACUUCCCUUCCAAUCCAAAGGUUGAAACUGGACAACAUGUCCCUUCACUGCCAGCAUAAACUUUUCUUUUCUACUCUCCUCCAAGCAAAAGUGAUGCACUACAUCAUGAACCUGACAGUAUUUCACUUUUCCAUUAUAACUUCUCUUUGAAAGCAUUACCACGUUACUGCUAAUGAGAUCCAUCAAGUAAUCUUCACCAGAUUCAGUGUUCACCACGAAGUCUUCCGCUAUCCAUAAACUUAUCAAUUGAGACACGGGAAUUCUUUCAUCCUCCGGAAACAUCCCCAUAUAAAGAAGACAUGGCUUUAAACAAUGGGGUAAGUAAUCAAAACUCAACUGCAUAGUCGCCUGACUAUAUUCUUCCGAUUCACGAUCAAGAUAGUCAAAUAAAGCAUCUUUCACCUCUUUCCACCAAGAUUCUUCCAUUUUCCUUUUUUUUAUUAUUCCAGCUACCAAGACAACCACUAGAGGCAAUCCGUUGCAUUUUUCUGCAACUGCUUGACUCACGUCUUGUAGUUCAGGCGGGCAAUCUUCCUUUUGAAACACUUUUUCUGCAAUAAUUUGCAACUCUCUUCUGUUGUGAGGAAUGGAAGAGAAUAAGGAUCAGUAUGGUACUUGACUUUCUCACCCACUUUCUUAAGUCGAGUUGUUACUACUAUUCUGCUUCUAUUUCUCACGUCUGGAAAACAAAGCCUUAAGUCAUCCCAUGCCAUACAAUCCCACAUAUCAUCCAAUACAAUGAGAUAUCUCUUUCCCAUUAGACUUUUCCUCAACAUGUCGGCAAGGAUGUCAUCCUUAUCUCCCUCGUCCUUGGAACCGGUAACUUGACUAAAAAUCUCUUGUAAUAGCGUUGUCCGUUUAUAUGUUUGAGAAACGAUGCACCAUGCUCGAACAUCAAAAUGAGAAACAAUGUUGUCACUAUUGUACACCUUUCUAGCAAUUGUCGUUUUCCCUUGUCCCCCCAUGCCUACAAUUGGGACGACGUCUAGCUCAUUUGUACCUCUAAUCAGAUACUUAAUCAUUUUUUUUGUGUCAUUCCCAAAACCCACUAUCUCCUCAUCAGUCACUGGAUUGCUAUGUCGAGUUGGCUGGUGUUUAAAUGGUGCUACCACAUAGCAAGGCUUAAGAGCAACGUCUGCUGACCACAUCUCAGUCACCUCCGCAUUAAUUGCUUGAUCUCUUUUAAGAUUGAAGGAAGUGAGCAGAAAAUAUGCAAAAAAGAAUUAUACUGAGAAAGAAUAGAGUCAAUGGCAACCUCAGAUUCAUAUGCCAAACUGAUGAUACGUCUAUGAAGAACUUUAGGAAUUUUAUGUUCAUGGUGCACCUUUGCGACAUCUCUGAAAAUGGAUGAUAAAGAUGACAGCUCCUUCUCUAAAAUGGAUAUUUGAGUUGAUAGCUCUUUCUCCAAAUUACCAAAAAGAGGUUUCAUCAAGAAAUCUAAAUCAGAUUUAGAUUUGGACAUCUCAUUCAGUUUCCUUGAAAGAGAAUCCAGAAAGCUCAAUCCACCAAUGGUGGGGAACUGAGAUGGAGUAAAUUUUAAGGAUUUGUAGUAAGUCUCCCACUUGUGCCUUCAGAUCUUUAGUUUUCUCCAAUAUUUGUAACGAGCAAAGACGUAUUUUGCUAGUGUCAUCUCUGUUUAUAGAGCUAGGAAGAAGCUUUUGGAUCACAUAUAGAACAUCACCCGCUAUAGCUCCAACUUUUUCCAUAACCUCCUUCAACCAGUUACCAUUAAUAACAUGAUUUGACACAUCAGCAUCAAGGAAGACCAACAAGAACUCUAUUGCCACAUCAAUAUUUUGAGCAGAGACAUCAUCAGGAAAGUUCUCGAGCUUUUCUUUUCUGAGAUACAUCAACAGUUUGUGGAGAUGAUGAGAAAAUCCUUUCAGUAAUUUCUUGUCCUUGAAAGUUCUUGAAUGAGUAAACUUUGAAGCCUUUAGUUCAUGGAGAAAAAUCUUCUUCAUUUCCAACUCCACUAACACAAUCAAGCAUAAUAGAUAAGAAGGAUUAUUCAAGAUAUAAUUAUACACAUCCUCAUCGUCAUCGUCAUCAAUAUCAUUUACAUCAUCAGAAAUAGCAAGACAAAAAUGUCCCACAUUGUUAGCCAUGAACUGAAUUCGAGUAUCCAAACAUUCCAGCUUCUCAUGGUUGAUGUAACCAUUUAUCUCUGUGGCAUAUAAAUAUGUCAAAAAUCUCAGUUUCUUUUGAACAACUUUCAGUUCCUUUAAAAAUCUGUGUAUUUCAUGGUUUUCUUCAGGAGGGUCAGACCUAGCACUUUCCAGGCAGAGUAUCAGUACAUCAUUUAGAUUCUUUUCGAGGCAAUCCAUACAUUCUGACAGAUCAAGAUCAUUCAACUCAUAAUUAUUAUUUAAAAUGGUAUCACGUUCCACGAAUUCCAACAAAUGUGAUUCUAGCCUUUCCAGAUUAAGGUUAGUUUUACAUUCAUCUGGAAUCCCAUCCAAUACCUGGUGAAGCAUUGCCAUAGUCAAUUUGGCAUUCUUUUUGUGUUUGACAAAGGAAUCACAAAAAAGAACAUCACGAUACUUUAUAAAGGUUCUCAAAACUCUUAGCGACAUUUCAAGUCUCUUAAUUUCAUCAAUCUUGGCGCUAUCCAGAUUACCUCCACUCUUGAUCCUUCUUAGGUGAUUUAACAUUUCCUCAAUUUCAUUUUCAGCCAUCUUCUCUUGAAAAUUCCUGCAAGCUAGUUCACCAACUCUUGGAAUUAGGUUCAUUAACAACAACAUUUUUAUUCAUGUCUUUCAUACCUAGUGUUUGUAGCUAUAUAUGUCGAUGCUUGAGAAAGAUAGUAUAUUUUAUGUACCAUUUUCAUCUAACAAAUGGUGCAUAUUAUCACAGAAAAUCACAUUUCACUCACUUUCAUAUGGUCACUCAACUACUAGUCAUUUUCUUUAGACAAAAGAAAACUAAUAUCAAUGUGUGAUGCUAAUGAUGGAGGGCGGACCGAUAAGAGCAGGUCAAAGAAAAGGAUUGACAAGAAUUUAGGCUGGCAAGAAUCUUAGUUGAAACUGGACAACAUGCCCCUUCACGGCAAUGACAUGAUUGAGCCCAACUAUUAAAUGAGGUUUUUUUUCCUCAAAAUUGGAUGACAUAUUUGAGCUUUUUCUCUAGUAAUUAUUAGUACAGAGAAACAACUAAUGCAUUCCCAAUGAUUAAUCAAAAAAGUGUGCGAGGAAAGAUAGCACGAUUAGUAGCUCAGUUGGUUGGAUAUCACAACUUUCACCUUAUGACGGUUCAAUUCCCCUACCCCCAAUUUGUAUCUAUAAAGACAUAUAACCAGCCAUCUGCUGUUGAUCACUUUUUUUUUAAAAAAAAUAGAAAUUUAAAGAGGAAAACAAAAAUAAAACACUUCUUUAACUGGUUCAACAGAGCAUAAACUAAUUAAUAUAUGUGAUAUCCAUUUUUUUGUUAUCUAGACCAUAUCAGAAAUUAAAACACAAGUGUUUUGAAGUGCCAUAGUGUUUCAUACAAGACAAAUAUCAUAAAUGUCUACAUCAAAUCCAUAUUCACAAUAUUUGAAGUGCCAUUGUGUUUCAUGAAGUUUAUUGGUAAUAUGGAUUAAUAACUCAGGUGUUGUAUCAAUUUAAGAACUUUGAGAUUUUGGAAAGCAAUAGAAAGUUAAUAUUCAAUAUAUCUUACAAUUUUCGAGCGUGACGAGUAGUCGAUUGAUCGAUCUCCUUUUGCCUUUUUGUAUCUCCAAGUUCUGAUCCAAUCCAAGAAAAAGAGUUGUUGAUAACUUAUAUAAAAAACAGAUUCCACUUAAGAAAGGAUAAAAAUUCAAAGGGAGAUUUAGAAAAAUGUUUAUUGAAAAGUACCUGAUAAAGAUUGGAGUAGGAUUAAGCUAACAAGAAAAGAUUAAUAUGAGCAUAAUUAACUUAGAACAAUGAGGAAAUGUUUGUGUCAUACUCUAACAAGAUUAGUAGAUGAAUAAUUAUGGUUUAACCAAAGGACUGGAUCUAAAUCCUACAAAAAAGUCAAUGGUUGUAUUAUUUAAUGAAUAAUUAUUGGGUUUAUCAUAUUAAUUUUUAGACAGCUAAUACAUUGUCAGGUUAAUAUAAUAUGCAUUCCCAUUGGCUUUCAAAGUCAAUAGUUGCAUAAUUUAAUGAAAUAACAUGACUUAUGAUAUAUACAGAGAGACAACUAAUUAAUUGAAAGGUUAGUAUCUAUUCCCAAUGAUUAAUCAAAGUGUGUGGAAGGAGAGGACAGUUGGCUACAGAGACAACUAAUUAAUUGGCUACCUGAACUUUCACAUUGUCCUUUAUUAAUCACAUUGUCGUUCUAAUUACUGCAAAUAAAUCAGUUCUACUUAUUUAGAGUCUUAUAAUUCACACUGGUAAAUCUUAUUUUGAUGGAUAAAUUCAGAGACGUGCGCCACCAUUGUCCUCCUGGAAAGCUGAGUAGGGGUUUGACAACAAGUGAUAUGUAUUUGGCUUCAUAUGAUGCUCAAACUCUCCAAAAAAUUGUUGCGUCCAUGUCGGAUCCUCCAAAAAUGUAAUAUGUGGAAGUGACCACAUUUUUGAAGAGCGUGAACAACAUAGAUGCAAAUUAGAUUUCAUACAGGAAUACUCAUCUUUCAAUUCAACUUAGUAUUCUCUAGAGGUGUUUUUUGUAUUCAACCAGAAAAACAACUUGUGUACAUAUAAGGUGUAAGAUGAAGGGAUUAUAGAAAUUAACAACCACCUAAUUAGAAAAACAGAAACGAAACAAUGAUUUUGACAGUGAUACAGAAGGCAACAGUAAAAGAUCAUCUGAUAAAAAGAGUUGAUCAAUCAAAACAAACUUAGCAAUCGGUACUGGUGUUACAAUAUAAGAGGAUGAGCAUGUACGUUACAAUAGACUCUCUGAGCUUUUGCUGCAGUUGUCAAAUUCAAACAAAUCCUCAUGCUCAAUUAAGCGAAAGCAAGCAUUGAAUUCCAUUGUUGACAAGCACAUACUUGAUUCACAGCAGCCUUAUAUUGCUUCCCCCAUAAUCCUGUAUUGAACCCAGGAGAAAAGCUCGGUAUUUCAGAAAACUCAGACCGACGGAGAAAAUGGAAGAAACGACACUGUUAAAUGUACCGAGGAUAAAGCUAGGGUCACAAGGACUAGAAGUUUCCAGGAUCGGGCUGGCUGUAUGAGUAUGUCCGGUAACUAUGGCCCGCCCAAGCCCGAGCUUGAAAUGAUGAAGCUACUUCAUCACGCUAUUGAUACUGGAGUGACCUUACUUGAUACUUCUGAUGUCUAUGGACCUCUCACUAAUGAAAUCCUCAUUGGUAAGGUGAAGAUCCUUUUUUAAAACAAGUAAUUAGUUGUACUUCUUGCUUACUUUGGUGUACCUGUCUGAUCCUGUAGUGAUUUUAUUGUUCACUGCGAAAAAAAUGAAAUUUUAUGAUUAAUUCUAUGAAUUUUCAGGUUUAAUUGGAGUUAAAGUAGAUAUCUUUAUCUUUUUCAAAGUGUAAUGAAAUCCAUUUAAUGAUCCUCUACAAAAAUGUAUGGAUUUUUUACCAAACGGGUGGCCUAGUGGUCGAUGAUGUGGGUCGAGAACCAUGAGAUUUCAGGUUCAAAUGGUAGUGAAGGCAAAAAUUAGGUGGAUAGAGUUGUGGGUACCCCUUGGAAUGACUUGGAAUAGUUGAGGUUCGUGCAAGCUAAGCUGGGACACUGCGGUAGUUAAAUGAAAGUAUGGACUUUUGGUAUCUAAAUAAUAACAAGUAUAUCCUUUCUAGAUUCUUGAUUUUAGAUUUGAGUUCAAGAUUAGCAGUUUUAGAUUUUUUGGACCUUAGAGUCUGUAAAAUAUAUUAUUUUCUGCAAUCUUGUAUGUUAGAAAUUAGUCAUCAAAGCAAGAAAAAGAUAUUAGUAAUAUAUAGCCUUUGGUUAUUUACAAUAUAGGUUGCUCUUCCUGCACUUGCUUGUUGAGAGUUGUCGAUUUUUCAAUGUUAUCAUAUGGUUUAGAAUUGUUUAUGCUUAAUGCGAAUUCAAGUUGUACUUUUUCAUCUGAUACCAUGGCUGCUUAACACUCUAUAAAGUAGAGCAUUUAUCCUGUUCUUCUAUAUACUUGAUUUACAUAAAACUUGGAGUAUCUCAAACUGAUAAAUCUUCCAGAGACUCGAAUCUGUAUCCUCGUAAAUCUAUGCUUUACAUUUUGAACCUGAGUUUUACAGGUAUAUAAUAUGUUCAUGUUCAACUACCUGAUUUCAUGUAGACUAUUAAAGGAAUAAGAGAGAAAUUACUAAUAGCUACCAAGUUUGGAAAUAGGGGCAUUUGUGGUGAACCUGCAUAUGUAAGGGCUUGUUGGGAGGCCAGCUUGAAGAGACUGGAUAUCGACUGCAUUGAUACUCAGUUGCCAAUUGAAGUCACAGUUCGACAUCUUUGCUCCAAAAAUUUAUUUUUCCAGUGUACUUCCAUCACUUUUAAGUUUUAAGAAAUAGUCGUGUUGUAUGAUUUGUGUGUCUAAUCAGGUGAAUCCUAUUUCAUUGAUCGUCGCAUAUAGAGCUUUUCCCCAAGUUUGCCAUCCAAAAGCACUACUCAUACUUGGUUCGAUUGGUAUAUCAACCCAUGUUUUAUGUGACAAACCUUGUUAAGUCUAUGCUACUCUUUUCAUUUUUGCUUCUCUUUGUUUUUAUAGUCAUUCUACGAACUUCUUCAAUCUAUGAUAAACACUUUCAUAACAAGUUAUCUCUGAAAUACUUAUAAUUAGAAAUGAUUUUCAAGACAACAGGUUAUCCCAACAUUUGUGAAGUUCCAUACCUAGUUGAUUUAGUGAUGUCGUUUCAUAAAAUAGUUUCUCGUAAUUAGGUUAUUGUCUUGUCAUUCAGAUCCUCUGAUUUAUGCAAUUAUCUGAAGGUAGUAAUUUCAAUAUUAUCUAUGUGAUGCAUAACUGCGGAAUCUGCAGUAUCAUUACUCUAUUUACCAAAUUGUGCUGUAUAUGUUUAUAUAAACGAAAAUUAAAUUGUAAAUGGUAUUCCAAUUAUAGUUUAUAAAAUUGGGGCAUCCAAUAUUAAUAGGUCAUGUACAUCUAGUCAAUUUUUCUAUGACUACAUAGUAUAGUAUAAAAUUUCAUGGAAUUGUUAUUUUCUCCAUUGACUCAUGACUAAUUGUAAUUGAUGUUCGAAAUUCUUUUGAUAUGCUAAGUUGUUGAUCAACUAUAAGGUAGCAAAGGUCACUCUUAAAAGUGUAGUUUUAUGACACGAAAAUCGUUGUCAUAUGAAGGAGAAUUCAUAUAUCUAACAUUUGAAAAACUUAAUUUUAGGGAAAAGAUUACGCUAAUUUAUGCUACCGUAUGGGCAGAGAAGGAGAGUUCAUAUAAAUUUCUUCAAUAGAAAUUUGUUGGAAAUUUGACAAAAGGAAACUUCAAAAAGUACAUUCAUCAAGAAUUUGGACAAGUCCUUUGUAAGAAAAGUAAGAAGUAAAAUAUUUGAACUUGUCAAUUAAUUAACUACAAAGACAACAGACUAUUUUUCAACACAUUAUUGAAUAUCUUCAUGUUUCAAUUUAGAAUCAAACCAGAAACCAUUUUGUAGGUACUAUAGUCAGACCUCCAUCCUUUAUAAUAAUAUUUUACUAUCAUAAUUAUAUUUUCGGUGAUAAUCAAUCUUUCAUAUUAUAUUAUAUAUACUAUAUGUUAUUAUUACAUAUCAAUUUGUUAUACUAGUCAAAAACAAUAUCGAAUCAAACAAUAUUGUUAACAAAGAGAUUUGACUAUAGAAUAAAAAAGGUCUACAUGUUUUCUGGGUCAAAGAUAACCUUAAAUACUUGUCUUUCCAGGUGUAAAGAACACAUUGUCAUUUAAUACACAUGCUAGUCGAUAAAUUCACGCUAAGUAAAUUUAUUCAAAGUAAAGCGUUCUCUAUUAAUCAAAUAUUUUUGUAUUUAGAACUUGAACUCUACCCCUUUAUUCCCUUCAAAUUUCAUAUCCAGUCAAACACAAUCUGACAUCGAAGUAAGUAACGUAAAAAAUCCUUUAUCUCCAUUUCUCAUUAUCAUUUGUAAAUUGAAUUCCUUUACUUUAUAACCAUUUUAUGGUUCAUAAUGAGUUUCCUCUCACAUUCAUACCAUACCAAUGUCACUAUCCAAAGACCUUUCUUACCUAAAUACUUGUCAAAAUUCUAUCAGAAGUUUGAAACUUCAAAUUUUCUGUUAGUAAAACACCACAACUUCUAUCAUGAUAUAUCUAUUAAACUCUAAAUACUUUUCCCACAAAUAAAUUAACAAAAAAGAAAUACUCCGUCACCAUGAAAGAAUUAAUUUUCAUUCCUUUAGCAGGAUUAGGCCACAUUGUAUCAGCCAUUGAAUUUGCAAAACAAAUUCUAAAUAAAGAUGAAAAAUUUUCCAUCUCUUUUCUCAUCAUGGAACUUCCCUUAGACUAUGGUGUUCAAAAUUUUAUUCAAUCACUCACUUCUCAACCUCGUUUAAAAUUCAUCGAUAUCUCCCUAGACGAAAAAACAUCAUCUGGAUUCCUCAAUAACCAUGAAACAUUCCUCUAUAAUUUCAUCGAUGGUCACAAAUCACUCGUACGUGAAUAUGUUCACAACAUUUGUAAAACAAGUUCAUGUUAUGGUUUUAUUCUUGACAUGUUUUGUACCUCGAUGAUUGACAUAGCUAACGAAUUUAAUGUCCCUAGUUACAUUUACUUUGCUUCAAACGCUUCUUUUCUUGGCUUAUGUCUUCAUUUCGAGACCUUAAGAAAUGAACAACACUCAGAUACGUCCAGGUACAUGAACUCUAACGAGGCAUUAUCAAUCCCAAGUUUUAAAAAUCUUUGUCCUACUAAAGUUUUGCCUAAGCAUUUGUUAGAUUCAAGACUUGCCUCAACGUUGUUUUUUGAUGGAAUUCGUUGAUUUAAAGAGACUAAAGGGAUUAUUGUUAAUACUUUUUUCGAGCUUGAAUCGUUUUCUCUUCAGGCUCUUUGGGGUUCUAAGAUGGUUCCAAAAAUUUAUCCAGUUGGUCCAGUGGUUAGUUUUGAAAAAAGUGGCCAUUUUAGAAAUAAUUCAUUGGAGAUUGAAAGUAUUAUUAAGUGGUUAGAUGAUCAACAGGAUUCCUCUGUUGUGUUUUUGUGUUUUGGUAGUUUGGGAAGUUUUGAAGCAGAACAGAUCAAAGAAAUAGCAGCUGCACUGGAGCAUUGUGGUCACAGGUACUAUUAGUUGUAAUUUUUUGUUACUCUCCCGUUUCAAGUUGCUUGUCUGGUUGAUUUAGCACAGAGUUUAAGAAAAUAAAAAGGACUUUUAAAUUUUGUGCUCUUUAACUAAAGAUGUAUAGCAUGUGCCAAAUUGUCAAUUAAUCUCGUGGUCUUAAAUAUGUCACAUGUAAAUUUGAAGUUAAAGAGUUGUCAAAAAGAAAAGAGACAUUUUUUUUAAACAGACUAAAAUAGAAAGUAAGACAAACAAAAUGAAAUGAAGGGAGUAACAUAGUGUACAUACAUAUAAUGCAUAUAUGUUCCACUGAAAGGUGUGGUAAAAUGAUAAAGGUUUCUUUAUUAUUAACUAGAGAUGUUGUAUUCGAGCCUUGUGAAUGAACUCUUAUAAUUUACAACAUUUAUGAUAAUGAGGAUUCAUAUAACACUCCAACUGAUAACUUAAUUGAUAGGAGUUAAGGGUGGUCUUUUAGUGGUAUAAGUUUCUUUUUUGUAUCUUGAAGUGGCUUAUUAAUAUAUCUCCUUUAAGGAAAGUUGUUUUCUCCUAGACUCUCCAAAUUAAUAUUAGGUCGUGCGUGCAUAUGUUGGAUUCUCCAAAAUUACUCUAUUUUUGGAAAAUCUAACACGUACAUGUUAUUUUUGAAAAAUCUAAGCAACAUAGAUUUUUAUGCCUCGAAAAUCUAUUCCUAAUUUUGUUUUAUUGUUAUUUUCAAAUAGGUUCUUGUGGUCUUUAAGAAAAUCUCCACCAAAGGGAAAAGUAGAUAUACCAACAAGUUACAACAACUAUGAAGAAGUGUUGCCAAAAGGAUUCUUAGAGAGAACAAAAGAAAGAGGAACCACAAGUAACAAUUUUAUCUUAUCCAUCAAUAGGAGGAUUUGUGUCCCAUUGUGGAUGGAAUUCAAUACUAGAAAGUGUACAUUUUGGUGUACCAAUUGCAACUUGGCCACUCUAUGCUGAACAACAAAUGAAUGCACUUUUGUAGUGAAAGAAUUAGGACUUGGUGAAGAGAUAAAAAUUGGACUAUGUUGUUGAUUUUGAAGGAAAAAAUAAUCAAGUUGAUAUAGUAAGUGCUCAAGAAAUUGAAAGUGGUUUAUUAAAGUUGAUGGUAAAAAGUGAAGAGAAUGAAGUGAGGAAAAAUGAAGGAAAUGAAGGAGAAGAGUAGAGUAGCUAUGGAGGAAGGUGGAUCAUCUUAUAACUCUCUUGGACUUCUUAUUAAGGAUGUAAUCACUAAUAUUUAAUUUUCUUAUAAUAUGAAGAAGAACAAAAAGAAGAAAAGAUAUGGUAUUUGAGGAGAUAUGUAGUAUCAUGAUUUAUGGUCAUUUUCUUAAUAUUUGUAUACUUUUAAUAUUUAUUCAAUGUUUUCACUUUUCAUUAUAGUUUUUUUAUUUUGUAUUUCUUUCAAACAGUUUUCUUGAUUCGAGUCUAUCAGAAACAAUCUUCUUACCUUACAAAGAUAUAGGAAAAAUUCGAGUAUAAUCCACCCUCCUUAUAGACCUCACGUAAUUUAUUAAUUAUACUUGAUAUAUUAUUAUUAUAGUUGAUUCAAAGAGAAUAAAGAGCACUGAAUAUUUGUGUUUAACUAAAAUUUGAAUAUACACGCAUAUCAAUUUAACCCUAGUACAAAUUAAGUAUUUAAAAGUAUAUAUGCAUAAUAUGUAUAUUAUAUUUCACUCGAUGAAGACAAUUUGUUUUAAUCAUAUUAUGUAUUAUAAUAAUUCUAUUCAAUUUAGAACAAAAAAAAAAAAAAUUUACUCUCACAUGGAAUGCUCCUUUCAAUUUUAAUUCCAAAAUAUAUAUUUAUUUUUUUUCCAACUAACUCUAGCCAAAUCCUAGUCCAAACACCUACUGGUCAAACUUUGGUCAACAUAUUCUCUGAGCUCACUGUUCAGACGGAGAUUCGCCGGAGAAAAUGGAAACGCCGGCGAGUGAAGUUCCGAGGGUCAAAUUAGGCUCGCAAGGCCUAGAAGUUUCUAGAAUCGGGCUGGGCUGUAGAGGCAUGUCUCCUAACACGGCCCGCCCAAGCCCGAACCUGAAAUGAUCAAUCUCAUUCAACACGCCAUCUAUCGCGGCGUCACCUUCCUCGAUACCUCCGAUCAAUAUGGACCCCACAUCAAUGAACUUCUCAUCGGCAAGGUAAAAUAAAUGUAACAAUUACUGCUUUAAUGUGUUGUACCUCCUGCUUUAUUGUGUUGUACCUUGCUGCUUUCCAAGUUGUAAUUACUCCCCUUUUUGUUCUAGAUAUUAACAACAUUUUCUAGAAUUUUAGUUUGCAUCUUAUCAAAUUACUUAAAUGAAGUUUCCAAUAGCAUAUACACUAAUUGAGGUAGUUAAAUAUGUGCAUUCUAAAUUUUAUUUGUUUAGGCAAUCAAAGGAAUGAGAGAAAAACUACAAAUAGCUUCCAAGUUUGGCAUAAGUUUGAAAGAAGGGAAAAUGGACAUUUGUGGUGAACCAGAGUAUGUAAGAGCUUGUUGUGAAGCUAGCUUGAAGCGACUAGAUAUCAACUGCAUUGAUCUUUAUUAUGUUCAUCGGAUUGAUAUCCGAGUGCCUAUUGAAAUCACGGUUUGACAUCUUACUUCUAUUUUUUUUUUCCAUUUAUUAUGUUUGAGGAUUUCUAGCAAACUUGUUGUAGUACUGUUGUGUCACUAUCUGUUGUUUCUUGUAUUUCUGUUACUUCUUUUUCUAGAUUACUAUGAGCUAUUUUUCCUUGAGUUGAGGGUCUAUCUAUAACAACCUUUCUAUCUCUACGAGGUAGGGGUUAGGUCUGUGUAUACACUAUCCUCACCCAGACUCCACUUUGUGGGACUACACUAGGUAUGUUGUUGUUGAUUUCUAGCGAAUUGUUGGAUUGUGUGAUUUGUGUAAAGAGGUAACAGUAACCAGUUAAUCACUUGGAUAAAAGCAGAUUUCACUUGGAUAUAGCUUGGCUAGAAAUCGCAAAAAUCUUCUGGUCUUUUAAAAAAAAAGAAUUGAUCGAAUCAACUGUGUGGGAAACGGUCCCGAGCUAUUUUACUUGCAUCCACUUUUAUAUUGCCAAACUGACAUAUUCAUGAAGAUCUUCUGAUGCACUAUAUUUCUUGGACUCUUCAAAAGUGUUGACAGAGAUGGGUGCGUGUCGGAUCCUCCAAAGGCAGUACUUUGGGAAAGUCUGAUUAACAUAGCUGACGUGUUGUUUGUCAAUCCAUAAGAUAAAGUCAGAGACGGAAUAAUGUUCUUCUGACAGUAGAGAAAAAAGGGGUGUACAAAAAGGUUGAAUUGAAUCUUCUGCUAUGUGAGAAAUGUUAUGUGUUUCUCACUUUCUCUCGAAUUCUCGGAGGAUAGGCCAAUGCUUUGAAAUUUUUGUGUUGAUAAAGUAUACUUUGUAAAAGAAACACUCAUCUAUGCUUACUGUAAUUUCAUAGUUCUCCAACUAUGAAAGAAUUUUUCUUUAUGUCACAUUUACCCACUCUACACUCUACACUCUGUCACUGACGAAAUGCUUCAUGAUGAAAUCACAAACAAAGAUUAGCUAAGACCUGUAUAUAUGGAAAUCAUUGUGGAGAUCAGGAUUCUAGAAAAGGUUGAAUGUUUUUGUAUGACAUGUGCAGUAUGAUAUUAUUUGACAAUUGACCUUUUAAGGAGAAGAAGCUACAUCAUUGUUAGCUACUACUAUCGUUUUUGAAAGCAUCACCGAGACAAAAUUAAUCUUCUACUAUAAAAAAGUAACGUAAAAUAUGGGGAGAGAGAAGGAUAGGUGGAUGAAAGAGUGUCAAUAAAGAUGAUACUCCUGUCAAAUAGAAGAAUCAACAUUUCGACAAUGGAGUAUCUCGAGGCUUUAUCUAACAAUAUAAUCGGCAUUUUGUUUAUUGUGCUUAUUGUUAUUAUUUUGUUUUAUGAUAUUGUGUGGCAUAGCGUGUAGAUGGGAGAACUGAAGAAACUGGUUGAAGAGGGUAAAAUCAAAUACAUAGGUUUAUCCGAGGCUUGUGCAGCAACAAUCAGAAGGGCACACGCAAUGCAUCCAAUAACAGCUGUUCAGAUGGAGUGGUCAUUGUGGACCAGAGAUCUUGAGGAAGAAAUAGUUCCAACUUGCAGGUAAUGUGUAUCUUAGAGUUCACUCUUACAGAUAACAUGGAGGUUCUUCUGAGUAAAUGCCUUUUCCAGAGAAUUAGGAAUUUCAAUUGUUCCGUAUAGUCCUCUUGGACGAGGAUUCUUCUCAGCAGGUCCAGAGUUGAUUGAGAGCUUGGCCGAGGGAGACUUCCGCAAGGUUGGUCUAGUUAAUUGUACUGUCUUCGAUCUUGGGUGAUUUUCAUUUGCAUUUAGCCAUUUACCUCAAUUAGCUGCAUAUCAUAGGCAUUAUUUUCCUUUUAAACCAAAAUUCUGUAACAUGUGCCAUUGGCUUUUUGUGAAACUUUCCAAGCCUCUCCUUGGAAGAGCUCAACGUUAGCAUCAACGUUGUGACUUUCCUAUUCUUAAUCAGCAGCUUGCUGAUUAACUGAGCUUGACCAAUCUACCAGUAUUGAUCUUGAUGAGAUUUAACAGUAUUGAUGAAUUAAGGUUACGAAACACAUGCUCCCUUAUGAAUAAGGCGAUCUGAAUACAAGAUCAACGAGUCUUAACUUCUAGUUCAAAUUCGGACAUCAAAAAAGAACACUCUUUAUAAUUUAACAUGCUUAGAGAGUACAAAAAAGGUACUCCUAUUCCACAAAGAAUGGCGGGUCACAGUGUCAUGGUCAAUGAAUCCAAAUUUUUGGUAUAUCUGAAUUAUAGAAACUUUACUAGAAAUCACAUUAUUUAUAACUAGAAUGAUACAAAAGUAGAGUUGUUUAAACGAAGUUGUCAUCAAAGAAAAAACUGUUUUGACUCAUUGUUACUGGGUAGCUCUAUCCAUCAAGGCAUAGAAAGAUAGAAAGAAAUCACCUAGUGUUUUUUAUUUGAACUUGAACCCCAUGGUUCUCAAUCCAGUUUUCCAACUCAUCCUUAUCGCCCGAAAUCUCUUCUGAUACAGCAUGUUAUAAUUAUAGAAUAAAACAAUACAUAUGAUCGGUAUGGCUGAUGUAUGUUUCUUUUAUCAUUUGUUUUUUUUCCAGAAUAUACCCAAGGUUCAAGCCUGAAAAUUUUGAGCAGAACAAGCAAAUAUACGAGCAAGUCAAGGAAAUAGCAUCAAGAAAGGGAUGCACCACAUCACAACUUGCAUUGGCUUGGAUUCUUCACAAAGGAGAUGGCAUAUGCCCCAUACCCGGUACCACCAAGAUUGACAACCUCAUCGAAAAUAUCGAAGCCAUAUCUGUAAAGCUGACAACUGAUGAAAUGAAGCAGUUAGAGUCCUGUGCUGCUGAAGAUAUGGUUAAAGGUGAAAGGCACGCAUUCAUGUGGGCAACUUGGAUAAAUUCGGAGACUCCACC